ensembl:lncRNA
CGGCGUUGUCCGCGCGCGGCCACCUGACCCCGGGCGCAGUUGUUAUUAGGCUCGGCGAGGCGGGCGGCGCGCGGCACCAGGGUUGGGCUCUGGCCGGGAGUCGACAGAGGGAGCGAGGGCAGGGAGCGCGCCCGUGCGUGCGCGCGCUCUCGCGACCGGACUAUCCGCCGCGGACACUCUUUCGCCCGCCUUACACUUCGAGCCUGGGCCCCGCUCAGCACCCUGGGCCCUUCCUAAGCGCCUCCCGCGCCGGCCCUCAGGGAUGCACAGAAAAAAAGAGGAAAGCAAAGGAAUAAACUACAAGCAAUUACACUCUACCAGGUACAGCAUUCACACCCCAAGCCUGACACUAGACUCUGCUGCUCCCUCUGGAAAUUGAUGUGGGCUUCAGUGCUGCUGCUGCCACAGCCAAAAUUGAGUCCCUGCAGUCUUGGCUUGUCCUGUGUCAUGCCAAGAGUCAACAGCAUCUGAAUGGUUGCACCUAGAUCACGUCUGAGCCCUAGCUGCAAGGGAGGCUGGGAAAGUGAGCAUCUGACGCCUAUGGAAUUGUUGGUCUCUGCCUCCUGUCAGUACUCAGGAGGUAGAGAAAUCCACAGCCAAGAGAUCACUUUAGAUGCUGGGUGAUGUCAAGGGUAACAGAAGGUGCAAAAAGGAUGACAAGUCCCCACUAGAACUUUCUUUCAAUACUCCUAAGCCCUAAUUAAGAGCUCCACUCAACAUGUAUCUAGGACAUGGCUGGAAAAAGCCUUGUGCUCAACUUUGAGAAGAAUUAAAUUAAAGGAAUGAUUACUAAGGGUGGGCAAGGUCUAGAGAACCACAAGAGACAGUGCAGCACUCCAGAACUGGCAACAGUAGGGAGCUUUCAACAUCCUGGGCCUGAAGAGGCAAGGGGAGGAAGCAUUUCCCAGAGCCAGAGGCAGGACUGCCUAACUGUGUGGAGAGAAUCAUUUAAAAUAAACGACCCAGCCCUGGGCACCUCCUCACCAAGAGGACAAGAGGAGCAAAUGCCACUCCUUCCUUUCCUGUGGUUCCCUGUUGAAGCUCCCCACCAGCCUGGCCAGAGACCAGAGGGCCAGGGAGCACAUGCAGGUAUGAGCUGCAGAAGAAGACUGGAGAGCAAAUGUGGAGAAAUAAACAGAAGAGGUUCUGCACUUACGGCUUCAUCGAUAUGUCACUGGCAUUUUUUCUUUUUUAAAUUCAGUAUCUCCUUUGGGGAUGUCCCUUUACAUUUUCAGUAGCUCAGCCCACAAGAUCAAUGGACUUAAAAUGUUCUUCUCAUCCUGAAUUUAACGAGAUGCUAUUUCCCCCUUGUUUGCUAUUUAGAAUGUUCUAUUGUAUGGUUCAACAAUCUGCACCAUUAAAGGUUAGCAAAUCCCAACCAGGACAUUUUUUUUCCCUUUCUGGGCUUGGGGAAAAAGGAGAAGAGGUGUGACCUGCACAGACAGCAUCAAAAAUCUCCUUUUCUGAAUCUUCCUGCAGAAAUCCUCUCUAUGUAUUGUCUCAGCACAGGAGAUUUCCUGUUGUUCAUCCCUGCCUCCUCCUCAUUAAUAUCCAGCCUUUUAAAUAAAGCAUGUACAAGAAUAGUCAAUAAAAUAAACCCCACAUGAUUACCAACAGUUGCAGGCCCAUGAGUUCCCCAAGGAUUCACCCACUGUAACCCCUCAUCCUUUGAAAGUACAUGAUAACUUGUGUUAGAGUAAUCAGUUAUUGGGCCAGGGAUUUAGCUCAGUGGUUCCAGUGCCUGCCUCCCAAGCACAAGCUCCUGAGUUUGAUCCCUGGUACCAAAAAAAAAAAAGUCACCAGUUAUUUAGUUUGGGAAAGAAUACCAAGGGGAAACCUUCAUCAUCAUCUUCAAGUAUAUGAUGUGUUCCUUCCCAGAGUAUGGAAAGCAAGUGUUUUCCCUGUCCUCAAUCAAGGGAGUGAGUACAGCACGAGGAAUAAAAUAGAAAUAAAAUAAUAAAAUGGUUGCACUUUGAAACUACAAUGUUAAGUGAAAUAAAUCAGACACACAAACUUGAAUAUUGCAUAGUUUCUUUUAUGUGAGAAAUUCAAAAUUUAAAUAAAGAACAAAAUAACAGAUAAUAGGAAGAUAGAUCAUUCUCAAAUGGGAAGGGGAUUAAGAGAGAAGGAGAAGGAGGGGAGGAUGCUGAAAAAAUUAAGAUGUUUUAUGUAUGUGUACCAACUCCACACAAAAAUGUAAACAUUAUGUAUUACAAACAUACUAAUAAAAACUGAUGAAGAAAACAAGCCUACAGCUGGGCAAAAUCAUUAACCACAAAGCCUAUUUUGCAAUAAAAUGUUGAAUAUUUGCCAAAAAAUAACAUUAAUAAAAGUCUUACUUUAAAAUGCAAAUGAAACCAAAUGUGGCAGCACACACCUGUAGUCCCAGCCCUCUGAGCAACUGCAGCAGGAGGAUCACAAGUUUGAGUCCUGCCUGGGCAACUUAACAAGAGCCUGUCUCAAAACACAAAAUAAAAAAAGCUGAAGAUGUAGAAUAGUGCAAAGGCCCUAGGUUCAAACCCUAGUACUACCACUAAAAAAAAUUGCAAAUGACAGAGAAAUACACACAGCAAAGUUGACUUCUAUGCUCUGGAAGUUUGAGCUAAUUAUUUCUAAAAUUAUUCAGGUGCUUUCACAUUUACUACCUAAAUUUUCUUUUGUUGUUGCGAUUUUUGCCAUGGCAUUCACUAAAAUUUGUUUCUUUAAAUAUUUUUUCUUAGGCUUCAUGUUGCAUAUAAAUGUAAAUUUUUGUCAUGUAGAUUGUCUCGUUUAACUUCCCUCAAAUAUCCAGCUGGCAGCUGAAUACCUCAAUUUGGAUUUCCCACCAACAUGUGCCACACUUACAUGUGCAGUUCAGAACCAGCAUGUGCAAUGCCGUGGUACCUUGGUUCACAAACUUAAUGUGUUUUAUGAUUUGGGGGAAGAUGGCUGCGUUUGUGUUUGUGUGGGGAACAUGACCAUGGUUGUGUUACCCAAUGUGGAGUUUGUGAACAGAAGCAAAGUCUUAUGUUACCACUUGUACAAUUCCUCUAUGGUUGGCUAUCACCCUUGGGUUACUGAAAAGCAUGGCAUGGCAUUCAAAUCUUUGUCCCUCAUUGUUCGUCUUGCUCCCCAGCCCAUAUCUCAUUGCUUCAUGGACUCUGAUCACUCUGAGCCACUUGAUAUUCCAUACCACUCAUGGGGAGCCCACACAUAGACACCAACAUGCUUUUGCACACACUUUUCCCUCAGCCUGAGUUGUUCUCCAUCCCAUCUGGCCUGGAGACCUUCUCUUCACCCUUCUAGUCCAAACACAGUCACUCAUUGUGUACUUGCAUUGUUUCUUGUGCAAAUAAUAGGGCAGAACAUCUGGCCAAAGGCUCCUGAUGGUCCAGCUGAGAAGUAGUGCAGAAGACUAGAUGAUGGCCAGGGAAAUGGAGUGGGCAGAGUCUAGGGUGGUGAUGGCAAACCUUUUAGAGCUUUCAAUGAUAACAAACAGCUGGCUGCAGCAUGCAUGUCAUAGAUUCUCCUCCACUAGUCUAGGGCAUACUCUUUGUGUAGAGUUUUCUAGACCUUCUGAUGGGUUGGCUGUGGGGACAAGAGGAGAGAAGAAAUCCAAAUCAGAGCAGGCAGCUCCAUCAGCAGGAACAAAUUACAGGGAAAACUACACCCUGGGACCCAACUUCAGUAAUUAUCACCUCUGUGUCAGUCUUGUUCCUUUACACCCCAACCUCCUUCCUCCUGCUGCCCAGCCCCACCCACACAAUGGCUUAUUUUGAAGCAAGUGCCAGACAUUUUAUAAUUUCACCUGUAAAUAUUAUGUCUGUAUUUCUAAAAUAAAAGAACUCUUUUUAAAAAAACAUAAUACCAUUAUCAUUUCUAAAAAAAAUUACUGAAGAAUGUAAACAAACAAAACUAAUACUAGUACUUUAUAUCAUUGGGUAUACGGGUAUACAGUACAUUUAGCAAUUACGUUUUCCCAAUGUGUUAUUUGUUGUUGGUUGUUUGUUUGAAAUGGAAUCUAAAUUGGCCUAUAGACAGUAUUGAUUUGUUGCUGUGUUUCCUAACUCCCUUUUAAUCUCUUCCCCCCUUACCUUUGUCUCUUCCAGUUUGGUUGUUGUCAUUAGUAAUGUUGCUGUCACUGAAGAAACUGGAUGUUCGUUCUGUACAAUGUUAGAAUUUCCUGAUUGCAUCACUGUGGUGUUGUUUAACUUGUUCUUGUGUCUCCUCUAUUUCCUGAGAAUUUAUUUUAUCAGAAACGGGAGUUUUGUUGCUGUUGUUGCCUUGGGGAAGGUCAGCAUGACCAUUUCAUAGAUGGUGUUUUAUAUGUUCAUCAAGAAGCUUAUCAUGUCUUAUUAUCUAUUUUUGUGAUGUUAGCAACCAUCAAUGUUUAUUACCUAUAUCUAUUCAUUUAUUAGACCUGUCAAAGUGGCAGUAUUCUGAUUGUAUCUUUUUUUUCUUCAUUUUCUGAGUGAGAUGUUCUGGAAAGAGGACAGUUCAUACAGAAAAAAUAGUAGAAGCUAUGUGUUUUAUAUUCCCCUUCAUAUACCAAUUUUCUAAAUAAUGAGUUGUUCCCAGGGGCCAGGGAUGUAGCUCAGUGGCAUUGUGCUUGCCUCGAAAGCCCAAGGUCCUGAGUUUGAUCCCUGGUACUGGAAAAAAAAAAAGAGUUAUUCCCUGUCAUCUUCCAAAGGUCAUGAAUGAAUGAAUGAAUUUACUUUUAUUUUAUCAUUAAUAUUAUUAAGGGAUUACUUGCUAAAUAUGUUUAUAUGUAGAUUGCAGUUAUAUUUAUUGAUAUCUAAAUUAUUCUGUCUUUGGUCAAUGGAAGCCAAAUCAAGUCAGCUCUAAACUACUUCUGAUAUGACCCUAAUUUCUUUUACAAGCUUCCUCCUUUCUGGUAUGUUUCAAGUUCAUCUUGUGUAUUUCCUGCUGCAGACCUGGAAUCAGCCAUUUCUCUUAGAAUUUCCAGGUUCCUUUCAAUGGGAAAUAUUGUUUAGAGACCACAAUCUGGGCAGUAAGUACACUCAUCGCUUCUCAGCUAGUUACUAUUUACAGUGGGCAAAGACAGAAUAUGUGUGUGUGUGAUUUUUUAAAGAAAUUGCAUGUCCAAUUCAAAUUCAGGAUAACCAUGGAUAUCCAUAAAGUGUCUUCUUUCUCCUGUGACGAAAAUCUCAAUUCUAAACAAUCCCAAUGUAAUUUCCAGUUUUCUCUAUUUCAUACUACACAAAAUCAACUUCAAAAUAAUUAGACAAAAACUAAAUUAACAAUAAACUAACUAUAACAGUUCAGUUUUUUUUCUUUGUCUUUCAGGUACAUCCCACUGCGGAUUAUUGUCAAAUUAAUGUAUUAUAGGAUCACUGAGAAUAGUUCCUCUGUGUGUGGCUACACCACCAACUGGUUACAUAGUUAAUUUCACUUACUUUGCUUUACAUUUUUAAUAGUUCCUUCUUAUAACUAUGAAAAUAUUUACCUGGUUGCAAAGUCAAAUAAAUCUACAAACAAGGUACAUUAAAAGCCUCAUUCUCUUUCUCUACAAUAUUAAAACAUGAUUUAUCCUCUUUCUUUUUAUAUGAGAAAAUAUCUCUACAUGCUUGUAUUCCUCUCCUCUUAGAGAAAUGACAGCAUACUAUAAACACUUCCUCCUCCUGUUUUCACUUAAUAGUACUUCUUAGUGGUAAAUACCAGUCUUUGAUUUGGGCUCUGGUUCACGGUACUUAAAUUUUCAGCAGAUAGCUGCAGGUUCUCACUCCUCUCUCACUCACGUGCCACAUGCGAACUGUCAUGGUUUAACUUCAGAAUCCAAGGCCUGACCCCUCUCACCACUCUCCUCUACCCUGCCAGAGCUGUCAGCUCUUACUGGAACCAUUGCAGUAGCUCCUCAUCACUGCUCUCCUUCAUCUACCCUCAGUGCCCUCAGGUCUGUUCUCAGCGAGUCAAAAGAGCCAAAGUCUUACUCACCUUUGGGAGCUCGCACCUCAUCCUUUUCUCUCCCCACUCCACUCUGGCCACACUUGCAAUGGCUAGUGGGCUCAUCCUCCUUGUAUCUGCAAUGCUCACUCUCUCGCCCCCUUCAAAUUGUUCUUCAAAGUAGCACCUUCACGGUGAACUUUACUCUUCCCCCUUCUAAAAUUGCAGCCUGACCCAUCCCCACCUCAGCUUUCCUUUGGCCUCCUCUAUUUUCCCAUACUACUUAUUACCUUCUGUCAUGCUGAAGAAUGGUUAUUGUCCAUUCAUUUAUUGUUCUCCACUGGAAUGUACAUUCUACAGGGUAUGGAUCUUUAUCUGUUUUGCUCACUAAUAGAUCCCCACUGCCUAGAAAAGUGCCUGGCACAUAAUAGGCACUUAGUAAAUAUUGUUGAAUGAAUGAAUAAAAACUUUCUUAACUUCAACUGAUAAAGUUACCAAACUGUGGCCUAGUGUUACAGGAAUAUUCAGAACCACAAUGACCAUCUGACCCAUAGGAGAACAAGGACCCUUUUCCAGUGACCAGAACAUUACUUCUUCCUCUGCCAUAUCCUGAGGCUCUGCAUAUGAGAGUUGAUGAGGGUCAUGUGAUACUUUUCUACUAUCACACAGCUGAAAGAUAAUAACAACUUACUAUUUAUAUGGUUUAUUAUGUUAAUGUAAGUUUUACAUAUACUAAUUAAGUCAUUUGAUCAAUAAAACAAUCCAGCAAAGACCGUUUUAUGAUUUUGCUCAUUUUAGAAAUGAAGCCACUGAAGCACAAAUAGAUUUUUUUUUAAUUGCUUAUAACUAAUAAUUUAUUUAUGGUAGAAUUAGGACCAGAAUCUCCAGGGAGUUUGGCUCUAGAACUCAUGCUUUCAAUUAGUACUAUCCAACAGGUUUUGGGCAAUGAUAGCAAUGUUCCCUAUCUGUACUGUUCAGUAUGGUGGCGCUAAAGCAGUGAUGGUGAACCUUUUAGAGACCAAGAGCCCAAACUGCAACCCAAAGUCCAUUUAUUUUUUGUAAAGUGCCAACACUGCAAUUAAACAUGAAUACUGAGAGUUUAGUUUAGAAAAAAAAACACCUCAUACCCUUGGCUUGCAUUCCAACAGAGAGGGCUCUGUGUGUCCACUGCGGCACAUGUGCCAUAGGUUCACCACCACUGGCCUAGAGUCACAAGUGGCUGUUGAACAACUGUAAUGUGACUAAUUCAAGUGGAACUCAAUUUCUAAUUGUACUUAGUUUUAAUUUCAGUUUAAAUAAGAAUAUGUCAUUACUGUGUGGAAAGCUCAACUUUAAGCCAAUAUAGUCUUGUGCUUUUUAGGUAUGAUUGACAGAAUAUCAAAGAAGUUGUAUAAGGGUUUGUUGCAGUUGUUCUUCAAAUCCAAGGGUACAUCUUUGUGGGAUUCUAAGAAAUGGCUAGAGCCAAUGAACUUUAAGUCUCCCAGUGUCAUCUAUAACUUAUGGAACAUAUGGCUCUCUAAUUUCCAAGCAUUCUUAGAACAAAAAGAAAAACCAUAAAGAGUAUGUUGUCCAGAUACAUUAUGUUCCUUUUUGUUGAAAGAAAUAGAGGAUUAAAUUGUUCUGACUCUAAUUUGUCCUUAUUUAAGUGCAUACUUGUGAAGAUAAAAAUAAAGUUAAUCAUAAGAGGUAGAACAUGACAUUGCAGGUUCAAUUGAAAAUUGCAAGUUAUAUUUCUAUUGAUGUUUAAAUUAUAUUUUUUAUUUUUGAAAAAUAUAUAAACUAAUUUUUAAAAAAAGAUGGGAAAAGACUAGACAAAUUUUACCAUCUGGAAUUAAUCACUGGCAUAUUUUUCCCUGUGUAUAUGAAAAAUAUAUGUCUUUUUUCUGUGUAUACAGUAUUAUUUGAAUUAUACAAGUGAUAUAUGAAUUGUGUUAGCUUUCUGUCACUGUGAAAAAUACCUGAGAAAAUCAUCUUAGAGGAGGAGAGAUUUAUUCUGGCUCACAGUUUCAGAAGUUUCUAUACAUGGUCCAUGGCUCCUUUUCUUUGGGACUGAGGUACAGCGGAACAUCUUGACAGAAGGACAUGGUAGAGGGAAGCUGCUCACCUCACCAUAGCAAAGACACAGAGCUGAGACUGCACUGGAAGCUUCUGUCUUAUUUCACUCUUGUUCUAUCCAAAUGCCUAACCUAUUGGCUGGUGCCACCCACAUUCAGGGUGGGUCUCUCCUCACUGCGUGCCUCACAUGCCAUGUCUCUAGAAACUCCCCACAGACAAACCCAGAAGUGGGCUUGACUGAUCUCCCAGGCACUUCUCCAUCCAAGUUUACAAUCAAGAUUAACCCUUACAUAAAUUCUCCCUUUAAAAAACACACAUUAUUGGGCCAGGGGUUUAGCUCAGUGGUUCCAGCCCCUGCCUUGCAAGCGCAAGGUCCUGAGUUCAAUCCCCGGUACAAAAAAAAACAACACAUUAUUGAUAUUCUCUCUCUCUCUCUCUCUGUCUUUCCAAACACUGUCCUUUCCCUUUUCAGAAAGCAACAAUAUUCUGAACUUGGUGUGUAUCCUUCCAGCCCAUUUUGUAUACUUUUAUUCUUCUAUGCAUAUAAAGCACAUGACUUUUUGGUGUGGAGUAUUUUUAAUCUUUAUAUGAAUGAUUUUACAAUGUAUUUCAUUCUGUAAUUUUUUUAACUUCUCAUUGUUUUUGAACUGUUAUACCAUGUGAGCAUACCACAGUUUAGUUGUCCAUUCUUUGGCUUAUGAGUACUUAGGUUAUGUCCAGAUUUUUAUUAUUUCAAGUCAUGCUGCAGCAAAUGUCUUUGUGCAUAUCCUCUGUGCAUCUGUGUAAGUAUUUUUCUGGGCAUAUAAUUUUAAGAUCACAAAAUCUGAUCAUUUUCCAUAUCACUAGGUACUUUGAAAACACCUCUAAUCGAUUGGGCCAUUUCCAUUCCUCUUGGUAGUGUGUAAAAGCAUUCAUCUGCUGCACUUGUGCCAAUAUCUGAUGCCAACUUUAAAAACUUUGCCCAUCUGAAAUAGCUACCUUAUUGUGAUUUCAGUUUGUGUUCCCCUAAUUAUAUAUUUUGUUUUGUUUUGUUUUGGUACCAGGGAUUGAACUUGGGACCUUGCGCUUGCAAGGCAGGGGACAGAACCACUGAGCUAAAUCCUUGGCCCUGUGUUCCCCUAAUUAUAAAUGAGGUUUCACAUUCUGCCAUGUUUAGUAGCCACUUGAAUUUCCUUUUUUUGUCACAUCUAGAAUAUAUCACUUAGGUUUUUGCUAUUGAAUUAUUUAUCUUAUUGAUUUGCAGGAGUUCUUUGCAAUGUCUGGUGAACAAUCUUGCUUACUAGGAAUGCUACAAAUAUUUACUCCUGGUCUACAGCUUGUCUUUAAACCUUCUUAUGAUUUAAUUUGUCAUGCAGAAGUUUUAAGUUUUAGACUUUAAUUAUGGCUUCUAGCAAACUUCUGUCAUUCUUGUUGAACUGACAAGCCUUACUAAAUCUUCAUGUGUUAUAUUCUAGAAGAGAUUAAACAAAUGUAUAGCUUUCUGAUUUGUUGGUUGAUUGCUAUGUCUGAGAAAAAAUUUUUCUUGUGCCUAUUUAUAGCAUUUUUCUUAAGGGACAAAGUUUAUUUUUAUGUCAUUGUGAAAUGUUUUGCUGUGGUGGUAAUGAUUUUUUGAUAUCUAAUAAUAAAAUGUUAACAGUGGUAAAAGCCUUGUAAUAGAUUUUAAAGUAAGAAUUGAUUUUGCUUUUCAUUGCUUGCUCUUUGAAAGUGUUUCUUCAUGGCUCCUUUUUUUUGGACUUUUUAGUUACUGGGAUCUUCUAUCUAAAAUUAUGCUCAAAAUAAAUUUCAUAUGUUUAAAAAUUAUUUUAAAUAACAUCUCUCUUCAGACCGAAAUCACAGCAGACUGAAGCCUGUUUACCAGCUUUGAGUCCUGGCUCUACCACCUGCUGCAUAGAAACAGUAGGCAAGCCACCUUAACUCCUUGUUUCUCAGUUUCCUCUGCUAUAAAAUAGGGUGAUACUAGAGCAAGACUCAUGGGAUUGCUGAGAAGGUGAAGCGAGUCGUAACUCAUCAGAAGGCUCUAAAGCAGGGCACAGCUCAGGGAAAGCACGUGAAGGAGGUUGCCGGUCUGAUCCCUCAGAUGGCUUAAGAUUCUUAGAAAUGAAAGGAAACAUGUAGAUUUAGUGCUCUCUGAAAAACAUUCCAGUUAAAGACCAGCUGAAUUCUUUAAUUGUCAUUUCAUAUUCCAUUAAUGAUUCAGAAAAAUAGACAAAUGCUAACACAGCUGCACCCAGCCGAUCAAUGCCAAACUAUCUUUUAUAGAUUCUCCAUUACACACUUUAAACUACCCUAGCUCAGUGCUUGCUUACUCCAAAUACUUAAAAAGCAAUUUGAAAGCAAACACAAAGCCUCACAGAAGACAUAUACAUCUCAAAGAGCCUGGCCCUUCACAAGUGUGACUGUAUUGUCAUCUGUCUUCUCUGCUCCCACAAGUCAGUGUGCUCUAUGAAGGCCAAGGCAGGAUAUUGGUAAAAUCCACUUGUUACUGUGUGUUUAGCAUCAGGCUGGUCCCUUCAUCCUUUGUGUAAGUUGACAACAUGAUGUUUUGAUAUAUGUUCACGCUGUGGAAUGAUUAAAUCACACUAAUUUAAAAAUCCCUCACCACACACACUACCUUUUAAUAAAAAAGUUUAAAAUGUAAUACUUUAUUGAUUUAGAAUGCACAGUCCACUAUUAUUUCAGUCACCCUUCUGUGCAGUAGAGCUCUAAAGCUAUUCCUCCUAACAUGUUUUGUAUCCUUCGAUCAGCAUUUCUCUUUUCCCCUUCCACUCCACUGCCCCAGCCUCUGAUAACAUUUUUAGAUUCCACAUAUGAGUGAGAUCAUGUGGUAUUUGUCUUUCUGUUUCUGGUUAUUUCACCUAAGAUCCUCUAGGCUCAUACAUGUGGCUGCAAAUGAUAGGAUUUCCCCCUUUAUAAAAGCAAAUACUGUUCAUAUCUUCACUGCAUUUCCUUUAUCCAUUCAUCUGCUUUGGACACAGGUUGCUUCCAUAUCUUGACCUUAGGGGUGGUGCUGCAAUGAACAUGAGAAUGCAGCUGUCUCUAGCAUAUUGAUUUCAAUUCCUUUGGAUGUAUACCCAGAAGUGGAACUGCUUGGUCACACAGUGGUUUUACUUUUAGUUUUCCAAGAUACUUCCAUACUACUUUCCAUAAUGGCUAUAUCAUUUUACAUUCCCAUCCACAGUGGAUGAGGGUUCCCUUUCCACACUCUCACCAACACUUGUCUCUUGUUCUUUUAUAAUAGACAUUCUAAGUGUGAGAAUUUGUCCUGCCAGACUCUGUGGCUGAUUGCCUGCCUGGAUUUGUACACAGGGAUGCUUUUCUGCAGCUCACCUUCGAGGGCUGGGCUCCGAAUGGGAAGAGCCACAUUUCAGAUCCAGCCCUCUUGCCCUAUAAACUGGAUAGUAAUUGACAUAAGCUUCAGAUUCUUCACCCCUAAGGGAGAAACGAUCAUGAAAGAUUGAGUGAAGUUAGCAUGUAAAGUGAUAAAAGAAUGUAGGCUUUUAAAUAAUGAGAGUAGAAUUUUACCAGACAUUACUUCAAUGACUCCAGCUGGAUAUUAAAGUGAACAUCAAUAUAUACAUAUGACAGGACCUGAACCAAAUAAUUUAAUUUUAGCAAUUCUAUACCCUCUCCAUAUCUUGGUAAAUCAUUUUAGAACGAGCAUGCUUCCCCUGUACCUCAGCUCCUCCAUUCAAGAAGGAUGCAAUAGGGGCUGUGAUGUUUUCAGAGCAUUAGUGGCUGAACUAAAACCAUUGUCUAUCCUCUAUUUUCCCUUGUGAGUGCAUAUGAGAUAACUGCUCUCGCCUGUUAACCCCCAGCAGAAAACCUGCCUGCAAACAAUAGCUUGCAAUCCCAGCAUGGUAUCCAGUGUUGGCAUAAAGGAUUCAGUGAGCAGAGCGUGGGGGUCAGCCUGCUGUUGGGCGCAGGCUGCUCUUGUUGGCACAGCCCUUUUGUGCAGGAUGUAGUCCUUGUUCUGCCACCUGUACCAGGCUACACACCAUUCUGUUUACUCACUGUCCUUGAACUAACAGGCUCCUUUCCCCUAGCCAUAAACAGAUUGGUGUGAGAGAAGCAUCUCCUACUGAGAGACUCACUUCUGCACUGACUCCUCUUUGUUAAUCUUCUGCAAAAUAAGGCAGUUUUCUGUUGAAGAGAAAGCAAUCAUUAAUUUUUCAUAAGAGCAGCAAAGUUGUGAAUAGUGGAGGACCUCUUGAAUAAAGAGCUUAGAGGUUCCAGAGAGAGGAGAAUAAUAAAGCUGGGUGGGGGUGGAAAGUGUGUUCUUUCUUGCACUGUUUAUCAUACCCUCCCCUUCCUCCUUGUUAAGAAGGAAGAAGCCAUUUACUGAAGCUAACAGUUCUUCAAAUCUCAGGAACCUUCAUUUUAAUCCUUAUCAGUGCUUUUUUAAAUGAAUAAUACAGUGACCUUCAGCUUUCUUCUGUAAUAUGCGAGGUUGAUUUGUAAAGACUGCUUUAGUUUUUUAAAUUAAGGCAGAUGCUGUAUGUAUUCUACUCAAUUCUAGCAUUAGUGUUGUCCCAAGUGUGGCAUUUAUGUUCUUUCAUUUCUUUGGUAUAAAUAAAUAUCAAAGUAGGAAGACCAGUGUGAACUCUACAAGGAAUAAUAAACUAAAAUAGUAUAGCAUUGAUUUUGUUCAGGAUGUCCAAGUGUGUUUUUAUGAUUGUGUAUGUUUAUAGCUUUUUUCACAGAAGUGAUAUGAGUUCUGGGCAAUUAAAAAGGGCAUGAAUUUUGUGCCAUUUAGGAAGAGAAUCUCCUUUCUAAUAGCUGAGCAUUCUACCAAGUUGUGGCUCUUAAGGAAGCACACAGAUUUCAUAAUUGUACUUUAAACUUGAGAGUUAUUGCCACUUUUAUUGUUUUACAGUAUUAUUACCUUGGCACCACAUUAGAGGACUUUAUUUUGGCUGCUGAAGUGCUGUAUUUGGAUGGAGCAGUUUAAUAAAGAAGCAAGGGAAGAUUCUUUUGCACUGUGUAUCUUAGUCACUUUUUCAUUACUGAGACAAAAUACUUCAUGUUCACAUCUUAAAGGAAGAGAGGUUUAUUUUGGCUCCUGUUUUCAGUCCAUGAUCAGCUGGCCCAAAUGGAGGAAUGCCAUGAUGGAAGGUUCUGCUGAAGAAACUACCCACAUGAUGGCAGCCAGAAACAGAGAGAGGAGGGAAAAGAUGGGGAGAAAGAUAACCCCUUUUAGGUCAUGUCUCCAGUAACCCACCUCUUCCAACCAGACUCCACCUCCUAACACCAAGUCAGUGACAGCAUCCUCAUAAUCCAGUCCCCUUCCCUUCUUCUGAACACAUGAGAAUUUGGAGGGAAAUUCUAGAUCUAAACCAUAACAUUCCACCCCUUCACAUGAGCCCAAAAGACUCAUGUACAUCUCUUUAUGUAAAAUGUAUUUAUCCAUCUCUAAGAUACACCAAAAUUGUAACAGUUCCUGCACUAUUGAAAUGCCCAGGUCCAAAAUCUCCUCUGAUACUCAAGGCAAACUCUUAGCUAUGAGCCCCUAUAAAGAUAAACAAGGAAAAUUAAACACUCCCAACAUGCAAUGGCACAGGAUAAACAUUCCCUUCCAAAGAGGGAAAUAGGUGGAUAGAAAGGAAUAGAAACAACGUAGCACCAAAACCCAGCAGGACAAACAUUAAAUCAUCUUCUUCCAUGUCCAGCACCUGAGGCAGGUUGUGGAAAGAUGUGAAUCCCAAAGGACUCGAGCAUCCCUGCACCUACAGCAUUGCUGGUUGCAAUCCUCAUGGCCUCUCUCUUGGGGUGGCUUCACUCACUAUCCAUGGCUUUCCUCAGAUUCUAUAUUCCUGGCUUCUCUAACUUCCUAGGAUCUUCAGUACACUUUUGACUUCACCCUAACCACUUCAUGCACUCCCCUCUCAGGGGCACACUGCCAGGCCUCUCAGAUCUUCUGAAGUCUGGGUGAAAAUCCCCUUGACCUCUUGCAUUGUGCAUGCCUGUAAAAUGAGCACCAUGUAGAUAACACCAGGGUCUGCCACCAACUCAAGCAGUAGCCAGCCCUGUUUGGAUCAUGGAUGCAGAGGCCUCUGAGUCCCCUGAUGACUGAGCACUGUGAAGAGAAUCCCAGGGAGCCAAUUCCUAGGUGGCCUUUCUUGAGCAAGGUGCCCUGGGGCUCUCUUCUAAAAAUGAAAGCUUUAUAGCUUUGCACUCCUGAGCCUAUGAUAGAUGGGGUCAUGUGAAUUUCUGGUAUACUUUCAACCUAUUUGUAGGCACUUUCUUCCUGAGGAAAUGGAAAACUUUUCAAAUAGGCUUUUUGCUCCUGAUUUUCAGUAUAGAUCUGACUAAAAGCUACCAGCAGUACCUGUGCCACAGCUUGAACUUUGGACUGCUUUGAAUUUUCCUCUGUCAGAUAUCUGGUCCAACAUUCUUAAUUUCAUACUCCCAGAAAGUCUCAGAACAUAAACAAAAUGUACACAAAUUCUCUGCCAGAGUAUAACACACAUGGACUCUGAUCCAUUUGCCAAAAGAGUCCUUUUUCCCAAUUGAAACCUCUUGAGCCUGGCCUUUUCUGUCUGCCUUAUUAUCAGCAUUCUGAUCUUCCAAGCGCCAAUCAGAAUCUCCCAUCAAGCUCAACUUACAACAUUCUAGGGUUGCUUCUCUAGCUGGCCUCUCCUCCAGUCAACCAGUUCCAAAGGCUUUGAAACCACAUGGUCUGAUAGUUGCAGCAAUGACCUCACCUCUGGUACCAAAAUCUGUCUUAGUCACUUGUUCAUUGCUGGCACAAAAUGCCUGACAGGCACAACUUAAAGGAGAGGUUUAUUUUGCCUUAUAUUCUCACUCCAUAGUCAGUUGGCUCAAAUGUAGAAACAGCAUGGUAGAGAAGUCUACUGAAGAAAGCUGCCCACAUCAUGGCAUCCAGGAAGCAGAGCAAGAAGGGAGGAGCUUAAGAAAGAGCUACACCUUUCCAGGUCAUGUCCCCAGUGACCCCUUCUUCCAACCAGACCUAACUCCUAACAAGUCAGCUACAACACUCUUGUAAUUCAAUCACCUUCCCAAAACCCUUCCUCUGAGCACAUGAGAAUUUGGGGUAACAUGCUUGAUCUAAAUCAUAACACUGUGCAUAUAUGCUUUUUUUCCAGUCCUUUCCACCACAGGUUCCUAGACUGUGGCUUUGAGUCUUAUGAGUGAGAUCUCAACAUUUUCUCAUCCUGUGAGGCAUGGCCUCCAGCAGCAUAUGAGCUCUGCACAGUCAUAGAGGAUUGGUCUGUAGAGGAGAGGGGAAGCCAUGUGGGCAGACAUCUAUUCCUGAGAAUUGAUGUUCUCAGAAAUUCAGUAAGAUAAUACACUAACUUCUCUGUCUCCUUCUCUGCAUUAGUGUUAUCCAACUUUUUGUUACAUUAAAUUAUUCAAAUAAUACAUAAAUACCAACUGCUUGAAAAUAAACAUUACAAAGAAGUUAAAGUUGGACCUCUCCCCCAAUACAAGUUCCUAUUUCCCUUCCUGUCUUCAAUACCCUCUACCCUUCCAGUAUCUAUUAUCAGUUUAGUUUGUAUCCUCUGAAAUAUGUUUUAUGCCUCUAAGCAUAGUACAUGCAAAUCAAUAGUAUUAAGCAACAGGAGAGCAUUGUUUCAAAAAGCCCUCAAAUACAGGUAUAAUAUUGAGUGUAUCUUUCUGCAACUGGCUUUUUAUUCAUUAAUAUUUCUUGAAGCUCUUUUCAUGUUAGUCCAUCUAUAUCUACUUCAUUAGUUUUAAUUGUUUUAUGUUAUUUCAUAGUGUGCCUCUGGUACAGUUUAGCUUUUCUCCUACUCAGGGGCACUUGUUUUUCCAGUUUUCUACUAUUAGAAAUUUCACUGUAGUAUGUGACUCCUUGUACACAUGAGUGACUCUAGGUUUACACCUACAGGUGAAAUGGCUGCAUCACAAAUUAUGCAAGUUUUAUAGUUUAAUAGAUAGGUUCAAAUUGCUCUCUACACUGGUGGUUUCCAUUUAUAUUCCUACUACAGGGCAUGUGGUUUCUGUCUCCUUACCAACUGUUAACAUUAUUAGACAUUAAAAUGUCUACUGCUUUAAUGGGUGGAAAAUAAUGUCUCUUUAUUUAAAUGUACAUUUCUCUUACUACUAAGGAGAUUGAACUACUUGUCAUGUUUAUUGGCUAUUGGUAUUUCCUUCCUGUGAUUUGCUUAUUCAAACAAUUUGACCAUUUUUCUGUUGGGUUAUUUGCCUUACUGAUUUGAAGAAGCUAACACAUGUGUGGAAUGUAUAUGUGUGCACUGUAUUGUGAUCCUGAUAUCUGUUGGAUAUAUCACAAUCUCCCAGAUAAUGGGCUGUCUUCUAAAUUCACUUAUGGUAUUUUUCCCUAUUGUCUAUGCUCUAGGCUUAUUUUUCUCAAUCUUCUUUUCCCCAAAUUUUGUUGUAGAUAUGCUGCAAUUAUUACUGUAAGCUAAUUGUACACUUGUUAUUUUCCCAAAUAAUCAUGUUAAUUUGAGGCUUAGAGCUGAGACUGUCCUGAUGACUUCUAUUGUCUGCCAUUCACACUUGCAGAAGAGUCUUACUUGGGGUGAAAAUGGUAACUGCUACUAAAACUCAUUGCCUCUGAUGGUAGAACAGCUUUGGUGUGAAACAUUUCUUCCAUGUAUGUAUCUGGGGUAAGGACUCGAGUUUGAAAGAAUGUAUGUGUGGAGAUGCAUUUUAUAUGUGGGGAGACUUUUUGCUUUGUGAGUCUUUUCUUUUUAAGGUAUAAUUGGGAAGUAAAAAACCCAGCUCAGCAGCUUACCUGCUCUCUACUAUUCACAAACUAUGGGCCCACAAUUCCCAAGGCUAUAUUCCAGGCUUUAUUGUAUGCUUUAAAUUGGAAUCUAUCUCAGAACAGUUACAUUUAAUUGGGAGAUUAUUAAAAACCAUGAGCAAAUUCAGGUUUUCUCACCCAGGAAAUGCUGCCAGUGACCAGCUUAAAUGAGGCCACUCUUCCCUUCAUGUUUCAUUGUCCAACCAGGAGCUGUCUGAGGAAGUUAAGCCAGAACAGAACUGUGAUUAGAUCAGUAUCCCCCAAACUUCAAGGAUUUGGAAACCAACUUUACAAAUUAUGAUGGUCAAUCCUGGUUGUCAAUUUGAUUGAUUUGAGAGAUGCCUAGAAGAUUAAUAAAGCACAUUUCUGUUGGGUCUUGGUAGGUCAUGGGGUUAUGAUCUUGGGCACUAUAUAAGUCCCUGUUCUCUUCAGGCUCUCCUGGUACUCUCUGCCUUCCAGAUGCCAUGAGUUGAGCAGCUUUCCUCUGCCAUAUCGUCCUGCUGUGGCGGGUCUCUGCCUUGGAGUCAUUGACCAUAGACUGAAAUCCUGAAAACCAUGAAGCUAAACAAACCCUUCCUCACUUAAGUUUUGUAUGUCAGGCACUUUUUCCCAGCAAUGGAAAAGCUAACUAAUACACAAAUAUUGCCUUAAUAAUUUCCUACUCUGCUGUUUGCUUAAUAUUCUUCUUAAGUCAUCUGUUUUUCAAUUAUACUUAUUUAAAAGGUCAAAUUUAUCCUUUAUUACUAUCACAAGUGGAAAAGUUUCAUUUGUCAUAUGUAACAUAAACAGCAACUAUGAAAGUAAAUAGAAACACAAGUAUUAGUAAACACAUGUAUUAGUAAAAUACUCUGAAAUUGAAGUCUGAGAAUGGGACCUAAUUUUAAAGGGAGAUUUAGUAACUACCAUAGAGAAAGAAGUUGAAUAUAUAAUGGUAGUAUUGCAGAUAGAUAACUUAAUUAGAUAUGUUGUAGGCACUUAGACAGGGCCAGCCCAGGAAGAACCAACAUGGAGGACAGUCAAGGAGCCAACAUGGAGGACAAUCAAUACACAUUCACUGAAGACCAGAAUUGUAAAAGGGGAGAAACUACAAACCCUUGUGCUUCCCCUGGGGAUAAAUAGCAGUGAUUGAUAUUCUAAAUAGGUAUCAAUCACCUGGAUGGGGGGUCAAGGUGUUAACCCAACCUCUCCAGGAAAUAUCCCUGACUCCCACCCUUACUGAAAAUCCUUGUAUGCUUGCUACAUGACUUGCUCCCCCACUUGACCCCCAUUUAAUCAAUAUUACCUGGGUGACUAUACUUGUCAUCUUAUUGGUUGGUCAUGGUUUUGUCCCACCUGAUGCCCACCUUGUAAAUUUCCAUUGGGUCUUGUAGUUUUGUCCCACUUUGUACCCACCUCACCACAUGGCUUUGCUGUAUAAAACAUCUUUGAAAUGUGGGGGGGAAAUAUUCUGUGUGUAGAAUAGAAAGAAUUGAAAAAGGAGUAACUGUCUUCCUAUGAGACUCAAUCCUGUAUCACCUGAAAUCAUGAUGGGAGUCACCCCUAUCUCAUUUAGGAAAGUAUUGGUGUAGACAAUAAAUUAGAUUAUCCCAGGAAAAUAGAAUAUCUUCAGUUUAAGUGAGAGUCUAAAGAUAUUUCUUCCCCACUACCUGUUGCCUGGUCAAUCCUGACAUCAUGUUAUCUCUUCCCUCAAAACACCUUAGAAUGUAACUGAUUGCACAAAGCAACUUCAGAUGAAUUGAUUGUUCAAAAUCUAGGUGCCGGGCUGGGGAUUUAGCUCAGUGGUUUCACCGCCUGCUGCACAAGUGCAAAGACCUGAGUUCAAUCCCUGGUACCAAAAAAGAAAAAGAAAAAAAAAAUCAACAAAAUCUAGGUGCCUGUGUGUUCUUGCUGGUGUGAGGUUAUUGCUCCAUAUCCAGAUCACAAACUCGGCUGAGCUCCCUUGCUUCCACUGCAGCCUGCUUCACACAAACACAGUGUUCUAUUGAAGUCACAUCAGAGAGAGGAGGUUGACACAAUAAAGUCAGUGGAACUAAUGAAUAUUUAGGGAAGAAAACAGCUGGUUAACCGCAGUAACAUGCAAAUAGGAUGCCAUGGCCAUAUGAAAAGUGGAGCCAUUAACCCUAGAGUCCAUUUAAUUUACCUUGGGGUCUGAUGUCAACAUGUACUCAUUGUAAUUUUAAAUUGUUUUCAAAUUAUGCAUGUAAUUAGAAAUCAUCAAGUAAUACAAAUAAGGUUUUUAAACGAGUGUAUUUGCUCUACAGCCCUUCUUUCUCCUCCAGUUAGACUUCUAUAGGUAGCUACUUUUAACUCAUUCUAUUUAUAAGGACUUCUAGUGGUUAGAUCCACAUUUUGAAAUAAUAUUCUUAUAUUUUUAUUUGAUAGUUUGCCACCUUUAAAAAGUGCUUGCAUGGAGGCCAGGGAUUUAGCUCCAUGGUUCCCCUGCCUGCUUCAAGUACAAGGACCUGAGUUUGAUCCCCAGUACCAAAAAAGAAAAAGUGCUUGCAACUUCUAUGUUAGAUGAGAAUUUAAUUAAUACUAUCACCUCUGCCCUCUCCAUCUUCCUUCAUUAUGUUUGGGCUGUUGAGUAGUUUAAUGCCAAUCUGACUGUCAGUCUUUUGGAGGUGACCUGGUCAUUACUUGUAGAAACUUUCAGGAUUGUCUUUUUACUUUUAUGGCUCUGAAAUUUCACAAUGUACAAGAUUUUAUGCCUGAGUAUUUUGGAUGUUUUAAAAGAUAUCAGCUCAGUUAUUUUCAAUAAUUUCUUACUGUUUCAUAUCUUUUGAUGCUAUCAUAAGUGGUAUGUUUUUAUUUAAAUGUCUGAUAAUAUAUAGAAAUACAAUUAAUGUUCACAAAACUUAUAAUUAGUUAUAAUAGUAUUUUUGUAUAAUCCAGUGGAUUUUCUGCAUAAGCAAUCAUGUCAUAUGUAUGGGGUUUUUUGUUUUGGGGUUUUUUUUUGGCACCGGGGAUCAAACUCAGGACCUUGCCCUUGCACGGCAGGCGCUGGAACCACUGAGCUAAAUCCCCAGCCCCAUGCCAUAUGUAAAUAAAGACAGUUUUACUUCUUCCUUUCCAAUCUGCUCUUUUAUUUCUUUUACUUAACUUAUUCCUCUGGAUAGACGCACCAGUGCAUUUUUAAUAGAAGAGGUGAGAAAGAGCAUCCUUGUCUUGAUUCUAAUAUUAGAGGAAAAUUCAAUCUUUUAGCAUCAAGUAUGAUGUUAGCUUUUUUUUAUAGAUGUCUUUUAUCAUAUAAAGGAUGUUCCCUUUAAUUUCUGUUUCCAUACUUGAGAAUUUUUUCACUAGGAAUUUGUUAGAUUUUGUCAAAUGCCUUUUUCACAUUUAUUAAGAUAACUGUAUGGUUUUUCUUUAGAAUUUAGUAAUAUAGUACAUUGCAUUUUAAAUUUUUUUCAUUCUAAAAAUGAAAAAUUUGGAAGUAUAUUUUCUAAUCCUUAAAUUUAAGUUUAAUUGCUUUUUAGAUAUAUUCUGAAUUAUAUAUAUAAUAUGAUAUUUUAGAACAUUCUUUAUAGCCAUUUGUUGUGCUAUUUACACAAUACAGAAAGGCAUCAAUGAGAAUUUAGACACAUAUGUAGAAAAAAAGAACAAUUAUUAGAAAAUAAGUCAUAAUAAAUCAAUGGUCCUUAAUUUAAAUAAAACUGAAGCUUAUGGUCAAAUUUCUGUCUUAAAAGGUAUAGAAGCACUCAAUAUAAUCAUAUUUUGUGCUAUUUUUACAGCACUAAGUAAUGGGAAGGAUUUCUCAUAUCACUAAUUCCUUUUUUUAAAAGAUAAAAAGUAAAAUUAAUUUUAAAAAGAUAAAAGGCUGUUAGAUUAUCCAUUUCUUUGUGAAUGAGCUUUGGUAAUUUUUGUCCAUUUAAUCUAAGUUGUCAAAUUUCUUGGCAUAAAGUUCUUCACAAUAUCCCUGUUACUAUCUUUUUCAUAUUUAAAGAAUAUGUAGUGAUGUCCCUUUUGUCACUGAUAAUUUGUUUUAAUUGGUUAUUAGCAAUGGUAUAUUUUUGCAUUUGUUUUGUUUGUUUGUUUUGGUAUCACUAGGGUUUCCCACUGAGCUACAUCCCAGGUCUCAUUUAUUUAUUUUAUUUUGAGGUGGGAUCUCGCUAAGCCACUAAGUUGCCUAGGCUACCAUUGAACUUCCAAUCCUCCUGCCUCAGUCUCCAGGAGUGCUGAGUUUACAGGUGUGUACCACUAUUCCUUGCUCAUCAUUUUACUUUUAACCUGUUUCUGUCAUUAUAGCUUAGGUAUGUUUCUUAUAGUCACCAUAUACAUGGUUCUGAUGUUUCUAUCAAUCUGACAAUCUCUUCCUUUUAACUGUGGCAUUUAGACCAUUUAUAUUUAAUGUUAUGGGCAAUGAGAUUAGAGUUACAUGGGUUUUUUUUCUGUACCAUGUGUUUACCGUUCUCUAUUUUCUAACCCUUAUUUUGGAUUAAUAGAUUUUUUUAAUAAUUCCAUUUUGUCUCCUUCAGGUAUAUCAGCUUCAACUGCCUUAUUUUUAGUUGCUACAUUAGGAUUUAUAGUAUAUAUAGCUUAUCACAGUCUAGCUUCAAGUGAUUUUAUGCUAUUUCCCAUAUCAUGAAGUAAUCUUGCAACAAUAUAUUUCUAUUUUUUCCCUCUCAAUUUUUUCUGUAAUUAUUAUCAUACAUUUAACUUCUACAAAUGUUACAAAGCCCACUCAUUCUGUUAUUUUUUUAAACAAUUUUGUUUUAAAGAUAGUUUUUAAAUUAGUAGCACAGCACAUAUAUGUACCCAUUUUCAUUGCCCUUCAUUUCUUGUAUAGAUUUUCAUUUUUAUCUCCAAUAGUUUUCCUUUUGUUUAAAGUAUUUUCUUUAAUAUUUCUUGCAGUGAAGUCUUCUGACGAUGAAUUCUUUUAACUUUUAUAUGUCUGAGAAAAAGGUUUUAUGUUCCUUUCAUUUUUAAAAGAUAUUUUCACUGUAUACAGAAUUCAAGGUUAACUUAUCUUUCCUUUCAGUAUUUUAAAAAUGUCACUUGGGGGCCAGGAAUUUAGCUCAGUGGUUCCGGUGCCUGCCUCGCAAGCGCAAGGUCCUGAGUUCGAUCCCUAGUACCAAAAAAAAAAAAGUCACUUGCAUCAGGAGUAAUGGCACAUGCUUGUAAUCCCAGCACUGUGAGAGGCUAAGGCAGAAGGAUUUCAAGUUCAAGCCUAUCCUGGGCAAUUUAGUGAGACCCAGUCUCAAAAAAGGAAAGAGUCCUGGGGAUUUUACUCAGUGCAAAGGCCUGGGUGAAUCCUCAGUACUGUAAAACAAACAAAGCUGCUUGAGGGAUAGGGAUAUAGCUCAGCAGCAGAACAUGUGUUUAGCAUGUACAAGGCCCCAAGUUCUAUUCCCAUCACCAAAAAAUUAAGUUGCUCCACUGUCUUCUUAUAUGCAUUAUUUCUAUCUAGAAAUCUUCCAUCAUCUUUAGCUUUAAUCAUCUCUGUAUCUGUGCCUCUGUUUCUGAAGCUGCUUUUUUUUUUUUUGCUUAAAUUCUUUUAUUGGUACAUUUUAAGUAUACAAUACGUUUACAUUUAUCAUUGGAUGCUUGUACCUGUACAUGCUGUAUCUUGGUUCUUAUUUUUUCCCCAUUACCUGUGCACCCUUCCCCCCCCAUCCUUCCCUAUUUACAUAGACUUUGUUUCCAUUUUUUUCUUUUCUCAUAAUUUUUCCUUUCCCUCUUCUCCCCCCCACCACUUCCCCUACCCCUAAAUGAGACGCCCCAAAUUCAAAGACCCAAUUCAAAAAUGGGCAUCUGAAAUGAAGCUGCUUUUAAAAUGUAUUUUUAUCACUAGUUUUGAGCAAAAUGAUAAUGGCAUACCUUACUGUAAUUUCCUUCAUAUUUCUUGUGCUUGGGGCUCAGGGGGCUUUAUGAAUUUGUGGUUUUAUUAUUUUGUCAAAAUUGAAAAUUAUUUUUGUUUUGUCUUCUCUCCUCCACUUCAGAGACUCCGAUUUCCUGUAUACAGGCCACUUGAAGUAUAAAGUAUAAAAUUCUCUUUCUCUUUGCCUUAAUUUUGAAUAUUUUCUAUAGCCAUGUCUUCAAGUUCACUAAAAAAUUUUUUUCUGUAAUCUCUAAUUUUCAUCAUUCCUAUUCAAUAUAAUUGUUAUCUUAGGCAUUGUAGUUUUCAUCUCUAGUAAUUUUAUUUUGGCCUUUUCAAAAUACUUUACAUUUUCCACUUGACUUUUUGAGCAUGUAGAAUGCAGUUAUAAUAACUUUUAUAGCAUUUUCUUCUAAUUCAACGUUAAUUUGAGAUCCAUUUUGAUUGAUUUAUCUCACCUUAUGGCUCUGAGUUUCCUGAUUUUUUAUGUUAAUUUUUGACCAUGUGCCAAAUAUUAAAUUUACUUUGUUGGUGCUAAAUAUUUUGUGUUUCUAAAAAUAUUCUCAAGCUUUGAUAGUUUAGUGUACUAAUCUAUGCUGCUUCCCUUAUCUCCAGGAUCACUGCUUUUUGUUAGCUGAUUUCUAGGCACUUGCACACUGUUGUUUCAUAUAUUUUGUCCAAUUUUUCAUUGUUUUGAAGCCUGUUACUCCAUUUGGUGGAAAUUUAACAUUUACACUUACUUCACCGGGGCUUCAGUCAGGGGAGGAAAUAAAGCAUGUGCUUAUUCCAUCAUAUUGAAGAAGAAUCACACUGGCUGUUUUUAAAAAGAUACUGCUGCUUGUGGUGUUAAAGCCUUUACUAAUAAUUUAUCCCAUGGCUUUGUACUUAUGUAUCCAAAUUCAUAUUCUUUAAAUUGACUUCUCUAAGUGUUUAUUGAAUGAGUGAGUGAGUGAAUGGUGGUGUCCUUUUGGUAAGGUUACAGCUACAGAAGAAAGACUGAAGAUAAGACUGGUUUUAACUAAAAUCUUUAAAUUUCAGGACAUCAUUUUCUACACUGCAGCUUUCUGGGAGUUGUUAACAGUAACACUUGCCCUGCCUCUGUGGCAGGAAACCUGUGUUUAGAAUGCAAUCACACACUUGCCUGCUAGAAUGAGUCUAUAACACGUCUGGGAAUUUUAUUCUUGGCUGUUUGUCCUGGUAGUUUUCUAAUUUGAUCUCAAUGUGAAAAUUAUUGUGGAAUAACAGAAAAAUAGAUCUUUCCAAUCCAUCUAUGCUCUUGUUUUAUUUUUGUGUAAUACCAGUUUAAUCCUCUAAAGGAUCCUUAAGGUCCCAUGUCUGAUUAUAAUGGAAGUGGAUAUAUUUUAAGGUCAAGUUUCUGCUUUACUUUUUCCUCCCUCAAGUGUGUAAAAUUGUAUCAUAUAUUCAUUUAACCUUUCGGAAGCUGAGAUAUUAGGGUGAAAAAAUCACAAUAUAUCAUAUUUAUCUCUUUGUUUAUAAAAGCCGCAUAGCAUAGUGAUUUCAGGUAUCAUAGCAUCUGAUUACCUGUGUGCAGCUCCAGCCCCUACUAGCUGUGUGACCUUGAGAGAGUCACUCAACUUCUCCAAACCUCAGUCUUUCCAUCUGUAAAAUGUCAUGGUAAUGGUUCUUCUAGAAUUGUUAAGAAGAUUAAGUGGGUUAUGUCAUUAAAAUGCUAUAAAUAAUACUUGAUACAUGGCAAGGGCUAUAUAAGCAUUAGUUUAAAAUAAAAUAAAGUGAAAUAGCACAAAAUAAAGAUAAGGCUUUACUCUAUCUUUCUGUAUUUAUUCUGUCUGCCAUUUCAGAGUAUCCUGCUUUGUUAUAUCAGAAUAUGUCAUACAUUAACUGGCUGCAUUUUGGGAACCAGUUGUACAGGGUGGGUAAAGAAAUUUUCCCAAUUUCCUUUCCUAGAUCCUCUAUGUAGCAGUGAUGCCUGCCACCCUACUCCCCCACUGGCUCAUGUUUAUCAAGUGUUUGCCCUUGGUACUUUUAUUUCUAGUCAAAACCUUCAGUUUCCCUGGAUUCAACUUUAAAUUCUGUCUCUGAGCUGCCCCCUCCCUGCUGCUAAACUGAUGCUAAAGAUUUUCCAUCAUAAUAUUUGAAAUCAAUGCUCAUCUUUGUUACUUACUAUCAUCUAAGGCACAUUAACACUAUUAGUAUGUUUUCCAGCCUUUUUGAUUUUCUUUCUAAUUUAACAUCUCUGUUUCCUAUGGUAUUCCAAUUUCACAGGUUAUCCAUGGCUUAUAGAAAUUUUCUCAAAUUGUGAGAAAUAGACUUGAUUUACCAUUUCUUUUUCAUUUUUUAGUUUAUGCAUGUGCUUUAUUAUUAGUGUUUGUACAAUUUUCAAUUUAACGUCAUCUUUCUGGGUCAUUAUCAUCCUAGCCUGACAUGGUUUUGAUUAUUAAGAGGUUGUUACCAGAGCUUAAUCAGCAGUCCAUGGUUGAUCGUACUUUGUAAAUAUAUGAUUCAGCUAAUGGCUUUUUGAAACUUAUACUGACCUCUUUUUUAGUUAGUUAUUUCAGUCUGGAUAGUGUUAUCUUUGGGGAAUUUCUGUGCACGAUGUCAUAUCCCAUCCUCGUAUUUGUUGCUGACUGAGUAUUUGAGGUAAGGUCAACUCACAGAGAGGUUACAGAAACAAAGAUGAGUCGAAAAUCCAAAUCAUCUCAUUAGAAUUAUUGUCAAUACAGCCCAGUCCUGUGUCACAUCAGGAGAUGUGACACCCGUCAACAGAGCAUCUCAGACACACACUGUGCCCCCCUCCACCUGCCUCCGCCACACCAGGCCCAGUGCUGUUCUGCAUGUGUCUACAGCAAAAGCUCUGUGGGCAUCUGACAAGAGAGGCUUAGGUAUGCAGGCCCCACUUCAUCAUGCAACAGCCCGGGUAAUAGAAAUUGCUCAUUAUGAGGACUGGAGAAAGUGGAGAUUAAAUAAAGGCACAUUGUGACCGGUCACAAUUUCUAAACAAAUCCUCCUGACUAAUUUGGGCCUGACACUUCCAAAGCUGCUGUUAUUACUGAACAUGAGCAUGUGGAAAAACUUAAGUCAAAACAAAGGAUAAAAUUCUUGAAUGUUUUGGUUUAAAAUUCUCUAUUUCCUUGUGUGUAUGGACACUUUCACCUUUUAUCUAAUCUAACUUUGGUAAGUUGCUAUUGUGCUCCUUCUCUAGAUCAAUUCUCUAAAGAUUUAGAAAAUAAGAGGUUCUUUUAUCUAUGUGUAGUAAUGGGUUUUGUGGGCUCUUAAAGCAUUAUCUUUUAUGAGUCCUUAAGUGCUAGAAGUGGGGAAAACCAUCUUUCUUUUAAAUUUAGCAAAUAGCAUUUAUGUGCAUAUGUGCUAUGUGCUUAUGCCACAUACACACCCCAUAAUAGAAAUAUCAUGGAAAAGCAAACCGUAAGCUUUUAAUGCGGCCAGGCAGGAGCUUUCUCCCUUGCAUCCUCUCCUGAAGUGGCAGUGAGAAGAAUGAGAGGCCUCUCUGAGUCUGAGGUUAUAAGUUUACUCCGAAAAAAAAGUCCAUUCCUUUUUAGGCUCCGUAUCACACCAUAAUAAAUGUGAAUCUAACCAGUUCCUCAAGUGCUUUCUAAGCAAUGCUUCCAUCUACCAUCAUACACGUAUCUUUCUUUUAUUUAGUAAGUACCAAUAAAAGCCAAUUGGAAUGCAGUGCCAUUUGCAUGUUGAACAAUUUUACUCAAUGUGGCAUCCAGGGGUGGAACAAGCUCAUCCAGUAGUCAAGAGAGGGGAAAAAAAAUUGAUUUUUUGUAUCCCAAGCGAGUUCCUCUAGAUUUACAGAGCAGGUGUUUUUAAGAUGGGUGUGAGAUAAAGCUCACAACACUUGGCUGUUGCCAAACCCUAGGCAUGCUGAUGGGGAUACCGGACACCAUCCGUGGGGCAUCAGACCCUCACUGCUCCUUGAAUGAGCUCUGUUUUAGGAUGGUAUUCAUGAGAAGGUAUUGAAUUUAUCAUGCCAUAAAAUGUCAAACUUUCACAUCCUUGAGCUAGAGUUGAUUAAAGUGGGAUUUAUGUUUAUAAAUACAUUUGAUUACUAAGGGAAAUAAUUAGGGCACAUAAAAGAAACAUAAUGCAGAGAUGUAAAAAAAAUGUGGGUUUGGAGUUAGACCCAAGUUCAAAUCCCAGCUCUACAUGCUGAGUGACAUUAGACUAGUCAGUGUCUCUGAACUUCAGCUUCUUUCUCUGUAAAAUGGGAGAUCGAAAAGCUAGCCAUAGUUUUGUUGUAUUAAGUAGACUGAUACAUGCAAAACAGUUCACACAUAGUAAGCACUAAAUAAAUACUAAUUUGCGUGAUUUUUACUUUUAGGCACUUAAAAAAGAAUUUUACAACUGAGAUAUCAAAGGUGGAGAUGCUGGGGAAUUCUUUGACUUUAAAAAACUGGAGUACAAGAUGAGGCCCUGUUUGACAACCAGAUUUCAUGUGACAAUAAGAACAUUCCAGCCAGAUAUAUGCACCUCAAGAUUUAUCUGAGCAAAAUGCUUAAAGGGUGAGACAGACCAACAAGCUGUUCUGGAAGGAGACAGCGGAGUGAGCAAGGGGCUUGCUGUCCCCUGGGGUGGUGCUACAGGACCAGCCCAAAGUGUCCACUGCACUGAAGAAGCAGCCUCUCAACAGCCACCAGAGCAGGGUUGAAAACCCCUGAGGUACCAUCCCAUACCUACCAUUUUACAAAAGAAGAUGUGAUACAUCUCCCCAUACUACCUCCCUGUGGCUCUCCUGAUGCCCUGGAAACCAAAUGCUGCUGACCCUCUUCCCUGCUCUCUGGUGGCAGCAAGACCACAACAUUUCCACCCACAUGAGCAUCUUUCCUUCUCUCCCUUGGGACAUUGUGGCUUCCCACCACCACUUUCAGCCACCAAACCACAAGAAGAUAGUCACAACGUCCCCUCUGUUUGCUGACUUUCCUUAAGGUCACCCUUUGUGAUAUGUCACCAAGAGCGAACAAAUCUUCACUGUGUCCAUUCUAUCAAAACUUGUUUCUAUAUGCAUCUGUCAUCACUGAUUGCAUUUGAAUGGUCUUGGUCUCUAUUUUAAAUAAAAGAUUUAUGCCUUAGCUGUCAGAGCCUGCCUUUAUUUGAAAAUUUAAUCUUGUUUCUAGGAGUCUAGAUUAACUUAUUAGAUUUAGGUAUCCCUCGUGUGUCUCUGAGAGAGAGAAGGAGCAGAAUCUCCUCUCUGCAUGCAGCCCUUCUUGGUGGAAGCCAAGAGCCAGGCCUCACCACCCAGCACACCAAGGUUGGACAGAGGCACCAUCCUGGAAGCUGCAUUUGGUAACCAUGGAUCCAAGGAGCCUCUCUCUGGGUCUGCAGGACUGGGGGUCAGCUCCCAGACACUUAGCCCAGGGGCCUAUGUUCAUUGCAAGGUCCUCCAUCAAACACACAAACCUUUCUCCAGCAUUCCAUGGAGUUUUCAGAAAAGACCCCCAGUAGGAGACAAAUUUGCCAACAUGUCUGUGCCAAGGAGCUCUGAGCCCCCUUACCUAUACUGGCGUCUUCUAUGUCUCACAGAGCUCUUGUGCUGAUUAGACCACAGGGUGAGGAGACUUGGUUUCAGCUCCACUGUGUGACCUUGUCCAGGCCACUUAAUUUCUCUGACCUCAUCCGAAGUCUCCUCAUCUGGAGGAUAGAAGUGAUGUGAAUGCCCACCACAUAGGACUGGUGUGUUUCACUUAUUGAGAAAACAGGGGAUAUCUUUGUUUUCUGCUACUAUAACAGAAUAUCACAGAUUGGGUGGUUUAUAUAUAAUAGAAAUGUUUGGCUCAUAGCUCUAGAGGCUACAGAGUCCAAGGGCUUUGCACAAGCAGCUAGUCAGGACCUUUACAGUGAUAUCACAUGGCCCACAUCCAGCCUCCAAGCUGUGACACCUCCUGUCAGUAGGGCCCCUCCCACAACCUUCCCACAAGCCACUGCAGAGAAAGCAGCCUUC